rnacentral:rRNA from 2 species
AAAUUGAAGAGUUUGAUCAUGGCUCAGAUUGAACGCUGGCGGCAGGCCUAACACAUGCAAGUCGAACGGUAACAGGAAGCAGCUUGCUGUUUCGCUGACGAGUGGCGGACGGGUGAGUAAUGUCUGGGAAACUGCCUGAUGGAGGGGGAUAACUACUGGAAACGGUAGCUAAUACCGCAUAACGUCGCAAGACCAAAGAGGGGGACCUUCGGGCCUCUUGCCAUCGGAUGUGCCCAGAUGGGAUUAGCUAGUAGGUGGGGUAACGGCU